rnacentral:rRNA from 1 species
CUACAGGCUUAACGCAUGCAAGUCGAGGGGCAGCAUGGUCUUAGCUUGCUAAGGCCGAUGGCGACCGGCGCACGGGUGAGUAACACGUAUCCAACCUGCCGUCUACUCUUGGACAGCCUUCUGAAAGGAAGAUUAAUACAAGAUGGCAUCAUGAGUCUGCAUGUUCACAUGAUUAAAGGUAUUCCGGUAGACGAUGGGGAUGCGUUCCAUUAGAUAGUAGGCGGGGUAACGGCCCACCUAGUCUUCGAUGGAUAGGGGUUCUGAGAGGAAGGUCCCCCACAUUGGAACUGAGACACGGUCCAAACUCCUACGGGAGGCAGCAGUGAGGAAUAUUGGUCAAUGGGCGAGAGCCUGAACCAGCCAAGUAGCGUGAAGGAUGACUGCCCUAUGGGUUGUAAACUUCUUUUAUAAAGGAAUAAAGUCGGGUAUGCAUACCCGUUUGCAUGUACUUUAUGAAUAAGGAUCGGCUAACUCCGUGCCAGCAGCCGCGGUAAUACGGAGGAUCCGAGCGUUAUCCGGAUUUAUUGGGUUUAAAGGGAGCGUAGAUGGAUGUUUAAGUCAGUUGUGAAAGUUUGCGGCUCAACCGUAAAAUUGCAGUUGAUACUGGAUAUCUUGAGUGCAGUUGAGGCAGGCGGAAUUCGUGGUGUAGCGGUGAAAUGCUUAGAUAUCACGAAGAACUCCGAUUGCGAAGGCAGCCUGCUAAGCUGCAACUGACAUUGAGGCUCGAAAGUGUGGGUAUCAAACAGGAUUAGAUACCCUGGUAGUCCACACGGUAAACGAUGAAUACUCGCUGUUUGCGAUAUACAGCAAGCGGCCAAGCGAAAGCGUUAAGUAUUCCACCUGGGGAGUACGCCGGCAACGGUGAAACUCAAAGGAAUUGACGGGGGCCCGCACAAGCGGAGGAACAUGUGGUUUAAUUCGAUGAUACGCGAGGAACCUUACCCGGGCUUAAAUUGCAGAUGAAUUACGGUGAAAGCCGUAAGCCGCAAGGCAUCUGUGAAGGUGCUGCAUGGUUGUCGUCAGCUCGUGCCGUGAGGUGUCGGCUUAAGUGCCAUAACGAGCGCAACCCUUGUUGUCAGUUACUAACAGGUUCCGCUGAGGACUCUGACAAGACUGCCAUCGUAAGAUGUGAGGAAGGUGGGGAUGACGUCAAAUCAGCACGGCCCUUACGUCCGGGGCUACACACGUGUUACAAUGGGGGGUACAGAGGGCCGCUACCACGCGAGUGGAUGCCAAUCCCAAAAACCUCUCUCAGUUCGGACUGGAGUCUGCAACCCGACUCCACGAAGCUGGAUUCGCUAGUAAUCGCGCAUCAGCCACGGCGCGGUGAAUACGUUCCCGGGCCUUGUACACACCGCCCGUCAAGCCAUGGGAGCCGGGGGUACCUGAAGUGCGUAACCGCGAGGAGCGCCCUAGGGUAAAACUGGUGACUGGGGCUAAGAC